CAGUAGCCGCGGUAAUACGGAGGGGGCUAGCGUUGUUCGGAAUUACUGGGCGUAAAGCGCACGUAGGCGGCUGUGUAAGUCAGAGGUGAAAGCCCGGGGCUCAACCCCGGAAUAGCCUUUGAAACUGCAUAGCUUGAACACGGGAGAGGUGAGUGGAAUUCCGAGUGUAGAGGUGAAAUUCGUAGAUAUUCGGAAGAACACCAGUGGCGAAGGCGGCUCACUGGACCGUUGUUGACGCUGAGGUGCGAAAGCGUGGGGAGCAAACAGGAUUAGAGACCCGUGUAGUCCCUGUCUCUUAUAC
rnacentral:rRNA from 1 species